AGNNUGCCCCCAGUAACGGCGAGUGNAGCGGCACAGCUCANAUUUGAAUCUGGCUCUCCNGGNAUGAAUAUUAUUUCUAGAGGAUUCUUGUGGUGAGGUGCCUGCAAGANCACNAGGAACGGGACGCCAUAAAGGGUGAGAGCCCCGUCUGGUUGGACACCGAUCCUCUGUAAAGCUCCUUCGACGAGUCGAGUAGUUUGGGAAUGCUGCUCUAAAUGGGAGGUAUAUGUCUUCUAAAGCUAAAUACCGGCCAGAGACCGAUAGCGCACAAGUAGAGUGAUCGAAAGAUGAAAAGAACUUUGAAAAGAGAGUUAAACAGUACGUGAAAUUGUUGAAAGGGAAGCGCUUGUGACCAGACUUGGGCUUGGUUGAUCAUCCGGGGUUCUCCCCGGUGCACUCUUCCGGCCCAGGCCAGCAUCAGUUCGCCCUGGGGGACAAAGGCUUCGGGAAUGUGGCUCUCUCCGGGGAGUGUUAUAGCCCGUUGCGUAAUACCCUGUGGCGGACUGAGGUUCGCGCAUUCGCAAGGAUGCUGGCGUAAUGGUCAUCAGUGACCACGUCUUGAAACACAGGACCCAAUUGUUAAAU
rnacentral:rRNA from 1 species